UUUCUGAAAAUAUCAUGGUCUCUCUCUCUCUGAACACUCUCACUCUCUCAAACUCUCUCCCUCACUCCCGGCCCUGUCCUUCCUUCCAAAAAAACCAACCCUCCUAGAGGGUUUUCACUCAAACAGCAACACACAACAACAACCUAGACUACACCACAACCUUCCCACAUAGUCCCUACAAGUUCUUGAACCAAGAAAAUAGAAGAAAAACCAUUUGAAAACUCAUCCCCGAGCUGCACUAUUCAAGGAAUUUCUCCGGCGAUCUCUUGCCAUUUCCGACGAAGGAACUCGGAAAAACUCAAGGAAAGUCACUGUGCAAAUCUGGAAUUUUCCAGGCCGUGGUCGUUUGGUCAUAUUUCAGGUCAUUUUAUGACCAACUCCGGCCACCACUCGAUCCCCACUUGGUGCGAUUGCUAUCGGAGACUCCGGUUUCGUAGCUCGAACGAAUGUGUCAUUGUUUAGUUGUUGUGCUUACGUGUAAACGAGGAUCCUGGUAAAUCUCAGGAGAUGGUUAUCUUUAGUGAGGGAAGAAGGGAUAGAUUCAACACAACAACAAUGGGAGGAUGAUGGGGAUGAUGAUGAUGUCAAUGAUGAGACGGAGCCCGAGAGCAACGCUGAGAAGAGCUACGUUCAUAAAACUAGUAUAUAUGCCUGUGAUUCAGUGGAUAACUCGUUUAGAAACUACUAAAUUGUGGCAUUUACUGUUCUUGGUCAAAAGAAACUGUGGUAUUUCUUAUUUGUAACAUUACAAUGACUAAUUUGAUCUGGUAUCAGGAUUUAUGACGACGAGUAUCAUUUAAUUAUGAUACUCUCCUUUCUCGAGUCUCAA